GGGGUCCCGGGAUUUGGGGGGUCCCGGGAUUUGGGGGGUCCCGGGGUGCCAGUUCUGGGUUUAGGGGCUCUGGGGGUCCCG